rnacentral:misc_RNA from 1 species
GUGAAUCAUCGAAUUUUUGAGCGCAAAUUGCACUAUCCUCGGAGAGUAUGCCUGUUUGAGGGUCAGCCUAUAAAAAAUCGACAUCGUGGCUGUUUCGCGGGGGCGGUCGUCGGAAAUUGGGGCAUCUUAAAUCUUGUGGUUGUAAGCGACUUAGAAUGUGCUGUUUGGUUCCAUGAAGGUGUCUAAGAUUUAUUUCAG